AGGUUUAAUGGCAUACCCAUUGACUGGUCACUCUUCAUAGACACAACGCUGGGCUCAGUUUCAAAGUGAAAACUACCACAGAUUUCUUCAUGUUGCAGUUCCCAUGGCUACAAGUGGCAUGUGCUUGAAUUGGGUCCUGUCUCUGCCCCCUGUUUCAUCAUUUGUUUGUUACCUGAUUGUAUCCAGCUGUUUUGUAUUAGUUCUUGAUUACUUUGUUUAUGUAUAUCCAGUUAUGUCUCUAAACCUUUGCAAAGUCUUUUAAUGCCUUUGUAUCUUUAAGCCUGAACCAUUUCCAGGUUCCUGUUUUUUUAUUCUUGAUUCCCCAUAAAAAUGUCACGCUGAGUGUACACACUUGAGUUCCUACCUUCAUGAACUGCACUUUAUAGAAAGCAUUGCGGUGUUAUUGAUAGAGUCAAGAAAUUACAACUUUCGCCAUUCUGAACAGCUGCUUCGCCAUCCGUGAACCCUGCGCCAAGAUCUCGCACCCCAGAUUUCAAGUCCAGUAACCUGAGCCCCACCUCUUUUCCUUAUAUUGCUGCACAACUUUAUGUAUUUUCUACUGACAUGCCUCUUGGAUAGUCCUGCAUCAUACAAUGAGAGGGUUAGGCUGAUGCUAUUUUGGCUUACUGACAAAACUCAUGAGUGGACUAGAGGACUUGGUUAUGAAAGAGCAGAAAAGUCUUGUCACCAGCAUAUAGGGAGGAGCUUUUCAGAUUCUAAAUCCAUAACCUGGGCAGGCAAGGUACCCUUCACGUAAGCUCUCUUGAGUUAAAUUUUUUAAAUGAACAAACAAUGCAACGUUAGGGCAAUGUUCUUAUUUAAAAUUGCUUGUGCGACAUUCCUUACUUUUUCUUUUUAGACGUCUCUGCCUGUUCAAAUGGAGGAUCCACUGACUUUCUCUUCCUAGAUCCAACACUCUUUCCUUUAAUCAGACUAAAUACAUAAACCAGUGUUCAGUCAGCAAUAGUGAUUCUUUUUUUUGUAAAAUAAAAGAAAAUGCAAUAGGGUAGUAUUGUUCUUAAAAUAAACCUUAUUAUGAAACUGGAAUGUAGUGUAAACUUGUAAACUUGUCUAUGAAACAUUACUUACCUUUCUUUCUCCUCCUUUUGAAGGUUUAAUGGCAUACCCAUUGACUGGUCACUCUUCAUAGACACAACGCUGGGCUCAGAAAAUCCACUUCCCUGAAUCCACCACAUCCUACACACGGCAACCACAGACUACAAUCCUCAAGACCUCACUCUCCCGGCACGUUCACACUCCCCUGAAUAUUAAAUCAAUGUUUUCAACCACACACUCACUCUAUAUAUACAUAUAUAUAUGAAGUAACACACUGUGCGCUUACCUGAACUUACCUAGCCUUUUGAUUCAGUGACUGAUAUUCUGGUUUUUAAUCUUGCCAUGUUUCUUCAUGUUUCAAGUGCCUGAACACAUUUACAGUGAUGAUACAGCACAAACACCAGUACAGUUCUCUCUGCAUGCCCACUAGAUUGAAUGUUUGUACUGCCCAGCCUGAGGAGCAAGCUUAUUACCUGGGUGCAAACGACUCCAGUCAGUGUGCAUCCCAGCACAUAGAGAACAUAUCACCUGUUAAAGGCAAAGUACUGGUGGCCCAACAUGAUCUCUGAGAUUGACAAAUUUAUCUUGUCAUGCACUGCUUGACUGCUCCUUCAAACUAGUAUUUACUCAUGUGUUUCACUAUCAUUCACAUGUGAAUCCCUGAGGUCAUUGUGAGUAUCGAGGCACUCACUUCACCUCCAGGUCUGGUCUAGCUUCAUGGGAAAUCUGGGAGUCUUGCUAAGCCUCACAUCUUGCUACCAUACACAGGCCAAUGGACACAUUUGUUUGUUACCUGAUUGUGUCCAGCUGUUGUGUAUCAGUUCUAAAUUACUUUGUUCAUGUAUGUAUCUUGUUGUCUCUGUAAAUCCUUGCAAAUAAAGAUAGCCUGAAAGGAUAUCAGCUCGAUGCUCAUUAAAACUGAUCUAGGGUCAGAUUUACCAUGCUUAAACACCUGGACUGAUCCUAAAUCCAUAAUCCCAGCAGGCAGGGUGCACUGCAAGUAUUAUCUUUCAGUUAAAUAUUAAAAAUGAACAAACUAAACUAAAACUAAACAGUAGAUAAUAAAAAAUCAUAUUAAAAAUUAGUAUAGAAGAGCAAAACGCCUGCCAUUACCUGGUAGCCAGUGUAUAACAUUACACUUCAUAACACUUCCCAAAAUAAUAAUGAUAACAAGCAGAACUCAACAACAACAAUAACCCCUUGUUCUUGAGAUAAUGAGAUUCUCAUAUGGACAGACAACAAAAAAAAACAUAAUACCUAAUAAUUAAAUG